ACAUUUCCACUGGCAGAUCAUCUUGAUGCAGGGUGCAACAUCAACUCUCAUAAAACAAGGAGGCAGUUUUGCAGAUUGGUUCCCUAGUAGGACACCAAAGCACUCAUUGAUACAACAUCUGGACCACUGGGACACUGGAGCUGUUGGAUCCUGUCAGGACGCCUUGGUAGAGGAAUAUGUGGCCAGAUGAGCCAUUUGGUCUCACCAGUUUUUUCACCACUGAGCCAGUUGCGUCAAAACACACUGUCUGGGUGGCCAAAUUUGGAAGAUGGCCUGGCUCAGGAUCUCCAAAAUCCAUCAGCGUGGUUGCUUGGGAUGCCCGCCAUACAUGGGGUUCCUUCCUGCCCUCACACAGUUCUGUGGCUACUUGCUCACGCAAAUGUCCAGACAGGAAACGUUUACAAUGACCUGUGUGCUUGGACUCGUCAAUGUUUUUUAUGUUGCACUUGAGGACCAUUGGGCCGUUUAGUACAGGCUCUUUUUCACUUUUUAUAUCAAGCUGGCUUCGACACUCUUUGCAGUAGCCUUUUAUAACAAU